UAAAAAGAUCGGUAAUGCUUUUGAUAACAUUAUUGAUGCUAAGAGAGCUCUACGUGAAAUCAAGCUUCUCAGGCACAUGGAUCAUGAGAACGUCAUAGCCAUCAAAGAUAUUGUAAGACCUCCGCAACGAGAUGUAUUCAACGACGUUUACAUUGUCUAUGAGUUAAUGGACACUGAUCUUCAACGAGUCCUCCAUUCUAAACAAACCUUAAGCCAUGACCAGUGCCGCUUCUUUGUGUACCAGCUCUUAAGAGGGCUCAAGUACGUGCACUCGGCCAACAUAUUACAUCGUGAUCU